rnacentral:rRNA from 1 species
GUGGCCUCUACUUGUAAGCUAUCGCCUGAAGAGGGGUUUGCGUCUGAUUAGGUAGUUGGUGAGGUAACGGCCCACCAAGCCGACGAUCAGUAGCCGGUCUGAGAGGAUGAACGGCCACACUGGAACUGAGACACGGUCCAGACUCCUACGGGAGGCAGCAGUGGGGAAUCUUCCGCAAUGGGCGAAAGCCUGACGGAGCAACGCCGCGUGAGUGAUGACGGCCUUCGGGUUGUAAAGCUCUGUGAUCGGGGGCGAACGGUCAGCAGACGAAUACUCUGCUGAAGUGACGGUACCCGAAUAGCAAGCCACGGCUAACUACGUGCCAGCAGCCGCGGUAAUACGUAGGUGGCAAGCGUUGUCCGGAAUUAUUGGGCGUAAAGCGCGCGCAGGCGGCUUCUUAAGUCCAUCUUAAAAGUGCGGGGCUUAACCCCGUGAUGGGAUGGAAACUGAGAGGCUGGAGUAUCGGAGAGGAAAGUGGAAUUCCUAGUGUAGCGGUGAAAUGCGUAGAGAUUAGGAAGAACACCGGUGGCGAAGGCGACUUUCUGGACGACAACUGACGCUGAGG